AUUGAACGCUGGCGGCAGGCUUAACACAUGCAAGUCGAGCGGAGUUGUGGUGCUUGCACCAUAACUUAGCGGCGGACGGGUGAGUAAUGCUUAGGAAUCUGCCUAUUAGUGGGGGACAACAUCUCGAAAGGGAUGCUAAUACCGCAUACGUCCUACGGGAGAAAGCAGGGGACCUUCGGGCCUUGCGCUAAUAGAUGAGCCUAAGUCGGAUUAGCUAGUUGGUGGGGUAAAGGCCUACCAAGGCGACGAUCUGUAGCGGGUCUGAGAGGAUGAUCCGCCACACUGGGACGGAGACACGGCCCAGACUCCUACGGGAGGCAGCAGUGGGGAAUAUUGGACAAUGGGGGGAACCCUGAUCCAGCCAUGCCGCGUGUGUGAAGAAGGCCUUUUGGUUGUAAAGCACUUUAAGCGAGGAGGAGGCUACUGGUAUUAAUACUACCGGAUAGUGGACGUUACUCGCAGAAUAAGCACCGGCUAACUCUGUGCCAGCCGCCGCGGUAAAAC
rnacentral:rRNA from 1 species